UACGGAGGGUGCAAGCGUUAUCCGGAUUCACUGGGUUUAAAGGGUGCGUAGGCGGGUAUAUAAGUCAGUGGUGAAAGCUCCGGGCUUAACUUGGAAACUGCCAUUGAUACUGUAUAUCUUGAAUGUCGUUGAGGUUAGCGGAAUGUUGCAUGUAGCGGUGAAAUGCUUAGAUAUGUUACAGAACACCAAUUGUGAAGACAGCUAACUAAGCGAUGAUUGACGCGGAGGCACGAAAGCGUGGGGAGCAAACAGG
rnacentral:rRNA from 1 species